GUCUCUGUGGCGCAAUCGGUUAGCGCGUUCGGCUGUUAAUCGAAAUGUUGGUGGUUCAAGCCCACCCAGGAACG
rnacentral:tRNA from 1 species